GCAGAGAUGUCAGUGCCAGUCUCCCAGCCUGCGUCCGCUGGGAGAGUUCUCCCCGAAACCGUUUGGAACUCUCCACUGAGGGACCUGAUCCGUGAUGUCCGGGUCCUGUCCAACCUGGCCCCAACAAGAUGGUUAUUUUGAGUCACUACCCUGCCCUCUUCUCUGUCAGUCGACUCUGGAUUGAAGUCCCUUCCUGACUCACCUUCCUUGCAGUGAGCUGAGGAACUUGUACUAUGUAACAGCUGAUUAUUUCCAGGCCGUCGGUCGUGCCCGACUCUUUGUGACCCCAUGGACUGCAUGCAGCACGUCAGGAGGCUUCCCUGUCCUUCACCAUCUGCCGGAGCUUGCUCAAACUCAUGUCCAUUGAGUCAGUGAUGCCAUCCAACCAUCUUGUCCUCUGUCAUCCCCUUCUCCUCCUGCCGUCAAUCUUUCGCAGCAUUGCAGGCUGUUUUACCCUCAAUCCCAGUGAGCAUUUUAUUUCACUCUUCCACUGGGGAGGGGAAUGUAUCCUGCAAGCCAGUGUGCAAACUACAGUCUGACAGAUUUGAGACCUGAACAUAGGGACACUCUCUGAGGAACCCUGAGAACCUGUGGAGCUAACUCUCCCUCUGUGUGCCACAGGUCAGAGAAGCAUGAAAUGAGGGCAGUAAUGGCAUAUGCUUCUUGGGUGGUGUCCAGCAUCAAUUACCUACAGCAAAAAUACUCUACCAAGCAAGGCUCUUCUUUCGGAUUCAACAUGGAAUCAAAAGACAAGCAAAGGCUCAGAGAAUUCAACAGGACCACACCAGCUUUACAACAACGACUAAUGUAACAGCUCUAGGCAGAAACAAAAAGGCCAUGACUACAUUCAAGAAAAUUAUGAAUGGGAAAGCUCACCAGUAAAGACAAAGGCACAGUAAAUAUGGGAACUCAUCCACACACAAAUAUGAUAUCAAAACCAGCAGUUAUGAGAGGAUGGGAGUACAAAUGCAGGAUAUUGAAAAUGCAUUUGAAAUUCAGAGACUAGUAAAGUUAAACAAGUAUAUAUACAUGUGUAUAUAUAUACUCUUUUACUCAGGCAUGUCUGACUCUGCAACUCCAUGGACUAUAGCUCUCCGGGCUCCUCUGUCCAUGGAAUUUUUCCAAACAAUGAUACUGGAGUGGUUUCCAUUUCUUCCUCCAAGGGAUCUUCCCAACCCAGGAAUCAAACCAAAAUCUUCUGCAUCUCCUGCAUUGGCAUGGGGAUUCUUUAGCACUGAAUCACCUUGGAGACACACAUAUAUAUCUUUAUACGUGUGUAUGUUGUGUGUGUAUAGACAGCUAGAACAAAAAAAACUCAUGAUAACCAAACAUCUACAAUAGAUAUAGACACACAAAAAAGGGAUCUAAACACAACACUAAAGAUAGUCAUCAAGUCACAAAAGGAAGUUUAGAACAAACACCUUUAAAACAAACCCAAAACAAUUUUUAAAAUGGCAAUAAGGACACACAUGUCAGUAAUUAACUUAAAUGUAAGUGGAUGAAAUGCUGCAUCCUAAAAAAAAGGAGAUAACGAUUAAAAAAAAAAAAAGGAAAACCCAUGUAUAAUACUGUCUGGGCUUCCCUGGUAGCUCAGCUCGUAAAGGAUCUGCCUAUAAUGCAGGAGACCCCUGUUUCAUUUCUGCACUGGGAACAUCCCCUGGAGAAGGGAUAGGCUACCCAUUACAGUAUUCUUGGGCUUCCCUGGUGGCUCAGUCUGUGAAGAAUCUGCCUGCAAUGCAGGAGACCUGGAUUCGAUCCCUGGGUUGGGAAGGUCACCUGGAAGAGGGCAUGGCAAGCCACUUCAGUGUUCUUACCUGGAGAAUCCCCAUAGACAGAGGAGCCUGGUGGGGUGCAGUCAAUGGGGUCGCAAAGAGGCAGACACGACUGAGUGACAAAGCACAGCCCAGCACACAUAAUACUCUCUACAAGAGACCCAUUUUCAAAUCUAGGUACACAUACAGACUGAAAGUGAAGGGAUGGGAGAAGAUAUUCAAUGCAAAUGGAAAUCUAAAGAAACCUGGAGUAGCCAUACUCACAUCAGACAAAAUAGACUUUAAAGACUGUUGCAAGAUUCAAGGACACCACAUCAUGAUCAAUGGAUUAUUCCAAGAAGAAGACACAACAAUUGUAAAUAAAUAUGCACCCAACAUAGGAGCACCUCAAUAUACAAACCGCCAUAAAAGGAGAAAACAUCAACAACACAAUAAUAGUGGGGGACUUUAGCACUCCACUUUCAUCCACGAAGAGCUCAUCCAGACAGAAAAUCAAGAAGGAAGCACAGCCCCUAAAUGACACAUUACACCAGAUGUACUUAAUUUUUAUUUCUAGGUCAUUCCAUCCAAAAACAGCAGAAUACACUUUCUUCUCGUGUGCACAUAGAACAUUCUUUAUAGAUCAUAUCUUGAGUCACAAAUCAAGCCACAUAAAUUUAAGAAAAUUGAAAUCAUAUCAAUAGUCUUUUCUGAUCACAAUGCUGUGGGAUUAGAAAUAAACUAUAAGAAAAAACUGCAAAAAAAAAAAAAUACAAACACGGGGAGGAUAAACAAUAUGUUCCAUAGUGUAUGUCCCAAUUUACAUUCCCACCAAUAGUGCAAGAGGAUUCCCUUUUCUCCACAUCCUCUUUGGAUUUACGUUUUGUAGAUUUGUUGAUGGUGGCCAUUCUGACAAGACUGUACUCGUUGUACUUUUGAAUUGCAUUUCAAUAAUAAAGAGCAAUGUUUCACA